UCCGCCUGGGGAGUACGGCCGCAAGGCUAAAACUCAAAGGAAUUGACGGGGGCCCGCACAAGCAGCGGAGCAUGUGGCUUAAUUCGACGCAACGCGAAGAACCUUACCAAGGCUUGACAUGCAGGGAAAUCCUCCAGAGAUGGGGGGUCCGCAAGGGUCCUGCACAGGUGGUGCAUGGUUGUCGUCAGCUCGUGUCGUGAGAUGUUGGGUUAAGUCCCGCAACGAGCGCAACCCUCGUUCUAUGUUGCCAGCGCGUGAUGGCGGGGACUCAUAGGAGACUGCCGGGGUCAACUCGGAGGAAGGUGGGGAUGACGUGUAGGAGCUCGAC
rnacentral:misc_RNA from 1 species